CCCCGCCGCCGCCGAGUCGCGCCGAGGCCGAGCCUUAGGUGAGGUCAAGAUUCAACUUCACCCGUAACUCACCGCCAUGGCCGAGGAAGGCAUUGCUGCUGGAGGUGUAAUGGACGUUAACACCGCUUUACAAGAGGUGCUGAAGACCGCCCUCAUCCACGAUGGCCUUGCACGUGGAAUCCGCGAAGCUGCCAAAGCCUUAGACAAGCGCUAAGCCCAUCUUUGUGUGCUUGCAUCCAACUGUGAUGAGCCUAUGUAUGUCAAGUUGGUGGAGGCCCUUUGUGCUGAACACCAAAUCAACCUAAUUAAGGAUUAUGGCAAAGAAUCUCAGGCCAAGGAUGUCAUCGAAGAGUACUUCAACUGCAAGAAAUGAACAAAUAAAACUUUAGCUC